AUGAAGAUCAUUCUUUAUCCAAGUCAGAAUUUUUAGUGAAGUCCUGUCACAAAAGAUACGUUCCUAUAUAGAUCUAGUGGCUUUCCAUGUGAGUUUGAUCAAGGCUCCAGUCAAGGUUCUUCACAAAGUAUUCUGAAAUCUCCAAUGACUAAUAUACUCUUAAAAACAAUUUACCCUUUUGGAUCUAGAGUGGUUCAUGGAGCGGACAUGAGAGUGGAAAACAAUUCAAAAUGAUGCUGCCAGUUUGUCAAAUGCAUGCCUAACUCACUCUUCCAUGUGAAUGUUAGUAAAAUGUGUGGGUCAAGCUUGAUACAAGAAAUAGAACACUUCAACCAAGUAAUAUGCAUAUAACCGAGGAGAUAUCUUGAAGUUCAACUGCAGGCAAACAACAAUGGUUAAGGUCACGAAUGAUAAGACUGCAAUCCUCCUUGUAGAAAUGGUUUUCCCCCCAUAUUUCAAGUUCUCAUCAGCAAAUGAUUGCCCUUUUUUUUUUAAUCAUUUCCUGUAUGUUCUGCUUGUCAAUUUC
rnacentral:misc_RNA from 1 species